GGCUCGUUGGUGUAGUUGGUUAUCACGUCAGUCUAACAAGGGGUCUUCAAAAGCCACCCGUUAGGACACUGAAGGUCCGGAGUUCAAACCUCCGAUGAGUCA